UCAACCAUCAAGCCUGGCUUGUUAUUGGACUUUUUUGUGGCUGAAAUAUGCAGCAAGUCCGAAAAAUAAUGACGGUGUCAUGUUUGACCCUAAAUGCAACGAGCUUUUUAUAAGCACGCAUUGAAGUGGUUGACUCGACCUGGUCUUUAAUUACAUUAUUCUCCAA
rnacentral:misc_RNA from 1 species